UGGGGAAUAUUGCACAAUGGGCGCAAGCCUGAUGCAGCCAUGCCGCGUGUGUGAAGAAGGCCUUCGGGUUGUAAAGCACUUUCAGCGGGGAGGAAGGCGUUAAGGUUAAUAACCUUGGCGAUUGACGUUACCCGCAGAAGAAGCACCGGCUAACUCCGUGCCAGCAGCCGCGGUAAUACGGAGGGUGCAAGCGUUAAUCGGAAUUACUGGGCGUAAAGCGCACGCAGGCGGUUUGUUAAGUCAGAUGUGAAAUCCCCGGGCUCAACCUGGGAACUGCAUUCGAAACUGGCAGGCUAGAGUCUUGUAGAGGGGGGUAGAAUUCCAGGUGUAGCGGUGAAAUGCGUAGAGAUCUGGAGGAAUACCGGUGGCGAAGGCGGCCCCCUGGACGAAGACUGACGCUCAGGUGCGAAAGCGUGGGGAGCAAACAGG
rnacentral:rRNA from 1 species